ensembl:lncRNA
GAGAAUUUAGCCUAAAGCCUGUGCAAAUGCUCUGUGCUUAUUGCAGGUUUCCUUCCUCCUGCUUCUUCAGAUCCCCAGGGAACCACGCAAAGCCGGAGCUCCUGCUCCAGCUGCGGCUGUGCCGGGGGCUGAAGGGGGGCAGGAGGACCCUCAGCUGAGGUUGCACUGCUUUCUGUGUCUGCACCCCGUGGGGUGGGACCCCCACGUUCCAUCCCGACUCCAUUACCCGCACCCCCAGCACACCCAGGUGCUGAUUUGCUCCCCUCUGCCCAUGUCCCCCCCGGCAGUUCUGGGCAGUGCCAGGAAGCGAAACCCAACUGUUUGUGCAGAGCAAAUCCCACAGCAGACAUUCCUCCUCUGAUUGAAACCAGACCUCACGCGAUGCUGCCGGAGCUGCUGGCGGGGGCGCGUUAACCAGAGCAGAGCAUGCGCUCCCAAAAGGGGAUUGGGGUCUCUCUGCUUGGGGACAUGGGUUGGCCAAGUGGGUCAGGGUCCAAGUGAUGGGAUGAAGAUGUGUGGGGUGGAGGUGUGUGGGGUGAAGAUGUAUGGGAUGAAGAUGUGUGGGGUGGAGGUGUAUGGGAUGGAUGUAUAUGGGAUGGAGGUGUAUGGGAUGGAGGUGAAUGGGGUGAAGAUGUGCAGGAUGGAGGUGUAUGGGAUAGAAGUGUAUGGGAUGGAGGUGUAUGGGAUGGAGGUGAAUGGGAUGGAGGUGUAUGGGGUGAAGAUGUGCAGACCCAACCGGCAGCAGCCACAAGCAUAGAGGAGAGAGGAGGAUGAGGCAGGGAAACCCCCAUGGCCUUCUCAAACGCUGUGUCAUCUCCUCCCCGAAGCCAAACAAAAAAAUCGCUACCAGCCCACACAACCUAAAAUUCCAGCAUUAGGAAAUCCAGGGGAAAAGCAGGAAGCGGAGGUGCAGACAGGGCUGGGUGCUGCCGUGCUGCAGGCGGAGCCUGAAGCUCCGGGGCAGCGCUGGGAACCGCUUCCCAACCCGGUCCCAUAGCGGGAGCUCACCCAGACACCCCAACUCCACCCCGAGGCUUCGGGGAACUGGAAUGGUGAUGCAAGGUGGGAUGAAGCAACAGCGCUGGG